rnacentral:rRNA from 1 species
UUAAGCGACUAAGCGUACACGGUGGAUGCCCUGGCAGUCAGAGGCGAUGAAGGACGUGCUAAUCUGCGAUAAGCGUCGGUAAGGUGAUAUGAACCGUUAUAACCGGCGAUUUCCGAAUGGGGAAACCCAGUGUGUUUCGACACACUAUCAUUAACUGAAUCCAUAGGUUAAUGAGGCGAACCGGGGGAACUGAAACAUCUAAGUACCCCGAGGAAAAGAAAUCAACCGAGAUUCCCCCAGUAGCGGCGAGCGAACGGGGAGCAGCCCAGAGCCUGAAUCAGUGUGUGUGUUAGUGGAAGCGUCUGGAAAGGCGCGCGAUACAGGGUGACAGCCCCGUACACAAAAAUGCACAUGCUGUGAGCUCGAUGAGUAGGGCGGGACACGUGGUAUCCUGUCUGAAUAUGGGGGGACCAUCCUCCAAGGCUAAAUACUCCUGACUGACCGAUAGUGAACCAGUACCGUGAGGGAAAGGCGAAAAGAACCCCGGCGAGGGGAGUGAAAAAGAACCUGAAACCGUGUACGUACAAGCAGUGGGAGCACAGAGCAAUCUGUGUGACUGCGUACCUUUUGUAUAAUGGGUCAGCGACUUAUAUUCUGUAGCAAGGUUAACCGAAUAGGGGAGCCGAAGGGAAACCGAGUCUUAACUGGGCGUUAAGUUGCAGGGUAUAGACCCGAAACCCGGUGAUCUAGCCAUGGGCAGGUUGAAGGUUGGGUAACACUAACUGGAGGACCGAACCGACUAAUGUUGAAAAAUUAGCGGAUGACUUGUGGCUGGGGGUGAAAGGCCAAUCAAACCGGGAGAUAGCUGGUUCUCCCCGAAAGCUAUUUAGGUAGCGCCUCGUGAAUUCAUCUCCGGGGGUAGAGCACUGUUUCGGCAAGGGGGUCAUCCCGACUUACCAACCCGAUGCAAACUGCGAAUACCGGAGAAUGUUAUCACGGGAGACACACGGCGGGUGCUAACGUCCGUCGUGAAGAGGGAAACAACCCAGACCGCCAGCUAAGGUCCCAAAGUCAUGGUUAAGUGGGAAACGAUGUGGGAAGGCCCAGACAGCCAGGAUGUUGGCUUAGAAGCAGCCAUCAUUUAAAGAAAGCGUAAUAGCUCACUGGUCGAGUCGGCCUGCGCGGAAGAUGUAACGGGGCUAAACCAUGCACCGAAGCUGCGGCAGCGACGCUUAUGCGUUGUUGGGUAGGGGAGCGUUCUGUAAGCCUGCGAAGGUGUGCUGUGAGGCAUGCUGGAGGUAUCAGAAGUGCGAAUGCUGACAUAAGUAACGAUAAAGCGGGUGAAAAGCCCGCUCGCCGGAAGACCAAGGGUUCCUGUCCAACGUUAAUCGGGGCAGGGUGAGUCGACCCCUAAGGCGAGGCCGAAAGGCGUAGUCGAUGGGAAACAGGUUAAUAUUCCUGUACUUGGUGUUACUGCGAAGGGGGGACGGAGAAGGCUAUGUUGGCCGGGCGACGGUUGUCCCGGUUUAAGCGUGUAGGCUGGUUUUCCAGGCAAAUCCGGAAAAUCAAGGCUGAGGCGUGAUGACGAGGCACUACGGUGCUGAAGCAACAAAUGCCCUGCUUCCAGGAAAAGCCUCUAAGCAUCAGGUAACAUCAAAUCGUACCCCAAACCGACACAGGUGGUCAGGUAGAGAAUACCAAGGCGCUUGAGAGAACUCGGGUGAAGGAACUAGGCAAAAUGGUGCCGUAACUUCGGGAGAAGGCACGCUGAUAUGUAGGUGAGGUCCCUCGCGGAUGGAGCUGAAAUCAGUCGAAGAUACCAGCUGGCUGCAACUGUUUAUUAAAAACACAGCACUGUGCAAACACGAAAGUGGACGUAUACGGUGUGACGCCUGCCCGGUGCCGGAAGGUUAAUUGAUGGGGUUAGCGGUAACGCGAAGCUCUUGAUCGAAGCCCCGGUAAACGGCGGCCGUAACUAUAACGGUCCUAAGGUAGCGAAAUUCCUUGUCGGGUAAGUUCCGACCUGCACGAAUGGCGUAAUGAUGGCCAGGCUGUCUCCACCCGAGACUCAGUGAAAUUGAACUCGCUGUGAAGAUGCAGUGUACCCGCGGCAAGACGGAAAGACCCCGUGAACCUUUACUAUAGCUUGACACUGAACAUUGAGCCUUGAUGUGUAGGAUAGGUGGGAGGCUUAGAAGUGUGGACGCCAGUCUGCAUGGAGCCGACCUUGAAAUACCACCCUUUAAUGUUUGAUGUUCUAACGUUGGCCCCUGAUCGGGGUUGCGGACAGUGUCUGGUGGGUAGUUUGACUGGGGCGGUCUCCUCCUAAAGAGUAACGGAGGAGCACGAAGGUUGGCUAAUCCUGGUCGGACAUCAGGAGGUUAGUGCAAUGGCAUAAGCCAGCUUGACUGCGAGCGUGACGGCGCGAGCAGGUGCGAAAGCAGGUCAUAGUGAUCCGGUGGUUCUGAAUGGAAGGGCCAUCGCUCAACGGAUAAAAGGUACUCCGGGGAUAACAGGCUGAUACCGCCCAAGAGUUCAUAUCGACGGCGGUGUUUGGCACCUCGAUGUCGGCUCAUCACAUCCUGGGGCUGAAGUAGGUCCCAAGGGUAUGGCUGUUCGCCAUUUAAAGUGGUACGCGAGCUGGGUUUAGAACGUCGUGAGACAGUUCGGUCCCUAUCUGCCGUGGGCGCUGGAGAACUGAGGGGGGCUGCUCCUAGUACGAGAGGACCGGAGUGGACGCAUCACUGGUGUUCGGGUUGUCAUGCCAAUGGCACUGCCCGGUAGCUAAAUGCGGAAGAGAUAAGUGCUGAAAGCAUCUAAGCACGAAACUUGCCCCGAGAUGAGUUCUCCCUGACUCCUUGAGAGUCCUGAAGGAACGUUGAAGACGACGACGUUGAUAGGCCGGGUGUGUAAGCGCAGCGAUGCGUUGAGCUAACCGGUACUAAUGAACCGUGAGGCUUAACCUU